rnacentral:lncRNA from 1 species
AUGUUAAGCAUCUCCUCUCACCUACUCUCUGACAGAGAAUGGAACCUUUUACAGGUGCUGGACUCUCCUCUCUGUAAGCGUGUGCGUACGUGUGUGUGUGUGUGUGUGUGUGUGCGUGUGUGUGUGUGCGCGCUCUCAGAACUGCCUGCUGAGCUUCCUGGCCUGCUGGACUCUCCUCUCUGUAAACGUGUGUGUGCGUGUGUGUGUGUGUGUGUGUGUGCGCGCGCACUCUCAGAACUGCCUGCUGAGCUUCCUGGCCUGCUGGACUCUCCUCUCUGUAAACGUGUGUGUGCGUGUGUGUGUGUGUGUGCGCGCGCACUCUCAGAACUGCCUGCUGAGCUUCCUGGCCUGCCUCUCUUUGGCGUCAAAGGCCAUCUUGGUGUCCCAGAGCUCGUCCAGAUGCUGCUUCAUCUCCGACAUGUCCUGCUGGGCCUCAUCAUCCAGCCUGUGCAGGCCGUGGGCCUCCCCGCGCAGCUGCGCCACCAGGACCGCCGUCCGCUCACUCUGCUCCCGGCACUGGCUCUGCAGCUGGGUGGCCAGCGCCAGCAGAGCCUCCGCCCGUGGCCCCAGGGUGUCCACCUCCUGAGACAUCGCCCCCUGGGGGUCGGCAGGAGAAUGUGCCUUUCAAGAAAUGAAAGCUGCCAUAAAGCAACAGUAUUCAGGAAGUUCACACUUUUUGAUGCAAUUUUUUAAGGGCAGGAAGGACAGCUAAACACACCUAUCAUUCCCGCUAACCUCCCAGGUUAUGCACUAGGUAGUUCUGUACCGUGAAAAAUGUAAGAUAGCAUGCCAUCGGCAACUACAUCGCCAAAAGACACCAGUUAUCAUGCUAACAAACUUUUAUUUGUAACUAUUUUGUUGGUGUUUGCAAGGUUUUUGCAAGCCUUUAAGUUAGUUUAAGACCAAAACUUCUGACUGCUGCUUUACCUUGUGGGUAGUAGCAUGCUAACAUUAGAUAGCUGGCUCAGACACCUCGCAAAUCCGCUCAGACGUAUUUUUCAGUUACAAUAACAGGGUUUUUACAUUGUACAGUCUAUUUCUCUGUAACUUUAAAAAAAUCAAAGCCAAAAAAGUCGAACAGACAACUUUUAUGUACAAAUACGACCAUCUACGGAGUUUGGUCUGCCAUUUUUUUUUUUUUUUAAAUGCUUUGCAACACCCACAACCGUCGGAGAACCAUAAAUUAAAACAAGUCCGUCGAGGCAACUGCGUGACCACGGAGUCGUAGAAGUAUAUUUCGGCCUUUAGUGAGCACAACUAAAGGUCUCUGAGUAUACAGGUUAUGUGUAUUCAAAUUUUCAAAUUCAAAUAGCUUUAAUUGGCAUGACCGUUCAUGUGCAGUGUGGCCAAAACAUAGUGUUAUUAUUACUAUAAAAGCAACAACAGCAACAAAAGAACAAGACAACAACAGCAACAAAACAACAGCAGUAUUCUCUUGGGAAGAUAAUGAAUGGCUCUGUAUAUGUUUUGAUGUUUUGAUGUUAUGGAUGUCGCCAUGCUUUGGCAUGGGCCACCUGUUGAACACAGGGAUACAUGCGGCUUUGCCAGACCUGACUUAAACGAGGAGCAACAGCAUGCCAGUGCCCGUCUAUACAUUUAAUAAAGAUAUAUCAGGACUUUGCA